AUGAUGGGGGAGAGCCGGGGUGAGGCGGUGGAAGUCUUCCUCGGGGUCCGGUUUCUGUCAUGCUGCAACAGGUUCUCCCGGAGAGUCUUCACCAGAUCCUCGUUCAGGGCAAUAUUCUCCCAUACCUUAUAGAAGAAGAGCGAGAAUUCCACUGUGGGGCAGAGAGUCUGAACAUCAGCUGUACUAGAGACGUCAGAACCAUGACUCCAACCCGAGACACACAAUGCGCCCAUUGACCGUGUCUGUACAUCAGCUGUAUCAGAGACGUCAGAACCCUCUCUCUUGCAAGAUACAGGCGUACUAUGGUCAUUCUGAACUGCCAAGAACAAGGGAGCAUCCAGAGUCUCCCUCUCCAUAAUCAGCAGAGAGAAGAGAGUGUCCUGCAUGCAGAAUCUACUUACAGGAAUUGGAAGAGGGAGCACAAAUUAUAAGACUACUCUGCUCUCACCAAUUUCACACCGCCUGCAUCUGGAGAUGGGAGUCAGGAAAGAUUUACUUGCCAUAUUCAAGUACGUGUCUUGCUUCUGUCUUUUCAAUUGCUUUAUUAGCUGGAGAAAUUAUUUUGAGUUUAUUUAGUUGGUUAAAAACUAUAUCUUUGGGAAACUCUUAAUAAAUGUCAUUCUCUCCUG